UACAGAGACUGCAAGCGUUAUUCGGAUUCACUGGGCGUAAAGGGUGCGCAGGCGGCCGUGUGUGUCAGGUGUGAAAGCCCGGGGCUUAACCCCGGAAUUGCGCCUGAAACUACAUGGCUAGAGCAUUGGAGAGGGUAGCGGAAUUCACGGUGUAGCAGUAAAAUGCGUAGAUAUCGUGAGGAACACCAGAGGCGAAGGCGGCUACCUGGACAAUUGCUGACGCUCAGGCACGAAAGCGUGGGGAGCAAAAGGG
rnacentral:rRNA from 1 species